UAAUACAUGACACAUUAUUGCACCUCAUAUAUAUAUAUACAGGCCUAGUAACAAAUGAUCCAAAAAAUGAAGAAUGUUAUAGUAGAUGUACGGACAAUACAUACUGUACAAUGAAGUACACUGUACAAUCUGCAACAUUAAAGAAGCAUUAAGAAUAAAGCUGUUUAAAGAAACAGGUCCAAGGACUUAAAAUCAGUAGCAUUUGGAACCAUAUUAUAAAAAAAAAAUAUUAUGGAAACAUGCUUAAACCUAAUCAAAUUUUGACAGUAUUACACCUUCUCUGUAGGGCUUCACUAUCACUAAUUUGGAAAAAACAGAAUUAAACCAACAUUUUCAGAAUCAAUCAGGUAUCAUCAUUGUUUUUUAGCUUUCUGUAAGGACUGUGCUAUUGUCUAUAUAUUCACACAAAACAAUUCUUAAUUAACCAAUUAGACCUGGUGCUGAACUAUGCACAGAGUCUGAAACGUCCAGAGUACAGAAACUGAACAAUUAGUGCUACCCAUAUGAAACUAUUCCUCAGCCUUUCAGAUCUAACAUUAGUUAUAACAAGUAUGAACUAUAGUAAUCUAACAAUCUAACAGAAACUGAACAAUUAGUGCUACCCAUAUGAAACUGUUCCUCAGCCUUUCAGAUCUAACAUUAGAUAUAACAAGUAUGAAAUGUAGUAAUCUAACAAGUUAUUAUUAACAGGAUUUAUAUAAUAGUAGCCAAGUUUUAAGAUGUAACAUCAGAUAUAACAAGUAUGAAUUGUGGUAAUCUAACAAGUUAUUAU